UACGAAGGGUGCAAGCGUUACUCGGAAUUACUGGGCGUAAAGCGUGCGUAGGCGGUUUGUUAAGUCUGAUGUGAAAGCCCUGGGCUCAACCUGGGAAUGGCAUUGGAUACUGGCAACCUAGAAUGUGGUAGAGGGUGGCGGAAUUCCCGGUGUAGCAGUGAAAUGCGUAGAUAUCAGGAGGAACACCUGUGGCGAAGGCGGCCCUCUGGACGGAUACUGACGCUGAGACGCGAAAGCGUGGGGAGCAAACAGG
rnacentral:rRNA from 1 species